GGGAUGUUGGAUCCCUGCUUGGGCAGCGACGUCCUCUCGUGCAAGCCCCUUCAUUUCUCGGUCCAAGUGCAUCGUUUGCCUUGGCCGCCAGACGGUUUCCUGUGCUGCAUACCUACUGCGACGGCAUUCGUUUGUCCCAAUCGUCCCCCGUUCGCCUUGAGCUGGCCUUAACGGGCAUCGGCUCGGGGUGAACUCCAAAGCGCUCGCCGUGUCCCAAGCUACGGACGCUUCGGCGUGCCGUGGCCUUGGCCCUCGUCGAGUCGCUCGAGCUCUCGGAUGCGGAACGCCUUGCGGGUAGGGGGGUCGCCGACCUCUGUUUACCCAAAAAAUAAGCGUUCGUCGCUAAUCAGCGGACGACUGCCGCGCCCGUCUUGAGCCACCGGCCCUCGGGCCGUCUCGGCUC
rnacentral:misc_RNA from 1 species